CUCCACCAUGUCAGGUGAUGGAGCUUGGAGAGGUGUUGGCUUGGAUUCACAGGGAGAGACAGAGGAGAGAAAACAAGUGGAGGGAUGGAUAGAUGAUGGAUGGAUGGAUGAUGGAUGAAGGAUGGAUGGAUGAUUGAUGGAUGGAUGGAUGGAUGGAUGGAUGGAUGGAUGGAUGGAUGGAUGAUGGAUGAUGGAUGGAUGGAUGGAUGGAUGGAUGAAUGGAUGGAUGGAUGGAUGGAUGGAUGGAUGGACGGAUGGAUGGAUGGAUGCUCCUCCCAUGGUGGAAGGCAUCUGGAAGGCCAGGAAUGAGCUGACACAGCCACAGGCUGGGAAUGUCACCACAGGUGAGCACGGAGUGUGGGCAAAGGGAGGCACUGGUGGACACUGGGAGCUUGGGGUUGCACCUACUGGGGGAAGAGCCAUGACCACUGGGAGGACUGGGCCAAGCUUCCCAUGCCUCUCCUGCAGAGGCUGGAGCAGGGUUGAUCCUGCCUGGAGCAUCUUUUGCGGGGACACGUGGAUCUGUGCUCCAAUGCGUGGAGAUGGGUAUUGCAAAGCCACUUUAUUUCUGGUGUUGUUAUUGGCAGGGGAGUGGGAGUGCAAUACAAUUUUAGCCACCCUGAUGUCUCUGUGUCCCUUACAUCCCACCUCCAUUCUAGAGCAGCUUUUUCCUCACAUUACACGAUCCUUACAAAAGGGACUUUUUGCACUUGAAAUGGUAAAAAACGAGCUGGUCCUGCAGAGCAGGGUCAGGUGUGGGCAGUCCUGGGGGGGCUGUGUGUCCCCACCACCAUCACCAAGGAAGCAGGAUUUCCUUGCAUAUGGCAGGACCAGGAGACGACCAAGAUCUGUGUGAGGCUCAGCGAGGAUGAACUUCUCACAGAGAAGGAUUCCUGUCACACCAGGAGCUGCAGGAGCCCAGCCCUCAGGCACGAGCAGAGCUGGAACAGCCCAGCCAGAAGCACUUUUUUGUUCAUUUUAAAACAUCCCAUUGAAGAUCAGAGUGAGUCCCCAGAGCUCCUGAGUGGAGACCACCUCUCAGAUAAACUCCACUCCCCAAAGCUCUCCCACCUCCCACUGGCACCAUCCCCUGGAUCACACAACGCUUUAUAAACACACCCAGAGAAUGCUUUUGUCUCUUCCUGUC
rnacentral:lncRNA from 12 species